rnacentral:rRNA from 1 species
GAUGAACGCUGGCGGCGUGCUUAACACAUGCAAGUCGAACGGUGAACACGGAGCUUGCUCUGUGGGAUCAGUGGCGAACGGGUGAGAAACACGUGAGCAACCUGCCCCUGACUCUGGGAUAAGCGCUGGAAACGGCGUCUAAUACUGGAUAUGUGACGUGACCGCAUGGUCUGCGUUUGGAAAGAUUUUUCGGUUGGGGAUGGGCUCGCGGCCUAUCAGCUUGUUGGUGAGGUAAUGGCUCACCAAGGCGUCGACGGGUAGCCGGCCUGAGAGGGUGACCGGCCACACUGGGAUUGAGACACGGCCCAGACUCCUACGGGAGGCAGCAGUGGGGAAUAUUGCACAAUGGGCGAAAGCCUGAUGCAGCAACGCCGCGUGAGGGAUGACGGCCUUCGGGUUGUAAACCUUUUUUAGCAGGGAAGAAGCGAAAGUGACGGUACCUGCAGAAAAAGCGCCGGCUAACUACGUG